rnacentral:rRNA from 1 species
UACGUAGGUGGCAAGCGUUGUCCGGAUUUACUGGGCGUAAAGGGAGCGUAGGUGGAUAUUUAAGUGGGAUGUGAAAUACUCGGGCUCAACCUGAGUGCUGCAUUCCAAACUGGAUAUCUAGAGUGCAGGAGAGGAAAGUAGAAUUCCUAGUGUAGCGGUGAAAUGCGUAGAGAUUAGGAGGAAUACCAGUGGCGAAGGCGACUUUCUGGACUGAAACUGACGCUGAGGCAUGAAAGCGUGGGGAGCAAACAGG